rnacentral:lncRNA from 1 species
CCUCACCUCACCUCACCUCGCUCCAACCACCGUGCCUGCCGGCCACCUCGCCGAGGAGGACGACGAAGAGGAUCAAAAGGCCCACGCGACGGCGCAAAGCCCAACGCGGAGAGCGGGUGGAGGUCUGGAGGAGGGCGAGCAAGUUGGGGAUGGGCUCGAACAGCCCGGUGGUGCCGGACCCGACGGUGCUGGGGGUCCAGCUCCACCUGCCGCUGCGCCACCCGGCCGCGCUCUCCCGCC